rnacentral:sRNA from 1 species
CGCCGCCCUGGGAUUUGUUGCACCAGAGCAGGUAGCUUAACCUUCGGGAGGGCGCUUGCCCGGUGUGGCCGAUGACUGGGGUGAAGUCGUAACAAGGUAGCCGUAUCGGAAGGUGCGGCUGGAUCACCUCCUUUUGAGCAUGACGUCAUCGUCCUUGCGGGCGUCCUCACAAAUUACCUGCAUUCAGAGAUGCGUAUCGGCACAGGCCGGUAUGCGAAAGUCCCAUCAUGGGGCCUUAGCUCAGCUGGGAGAGCACCUGCUUUGCAAGCAGGGGUCCGCCGGUCCCAUCCCCGACAGGCUCCACCAUUUGUGGUGAAACGACUUUGGGUCUGUAGCUCAGGUGGUUAGAGCGCACCCCUGAUAAGGGUGAGGUCGGUGGUUCGAGUCCUCCCAGACCCACCACUCUGAAUGUAGUGCACACUUAAGAAUUUAUAUGGCUCAGCGUUGAGGCUGAGACAUGUUCUUUUAUAACUUGUGACGUAGCGAGCGUUUGAGAUAUCUAUCUAAACGUGUCGUUGAGGCUAAGGCGGGGACUUCGAGUCCCUAAAUAAUUGAGUCGUAUGUUCGCGUUGGUGGCUUUGUACCCCACACAACACGGCAUGUGACCCUGAGGCAACUUGGGGUUAUAUGGUCAAGCGAAUAAGCGCACACGGUGGAUGCCUAGGCGGUCAGAGGCGAUGAAGGACGUGGUAGCCUGCGAAAAGUGUCGGGAGCUGGCAACAAGCUUUGAUCCGGCAAUAUCCGAAUGGGGAAACCCCACUGCUUCGGCAGUUAUCCUGCAGUGAUUCAUAGCUGCUGCAGCGACCCGGUGACUGAAAUAUUUUAGUACCGAGGAAAGAAAAUCAACCGAGAUCCUAGUAGUGACAGCGACGGGAGCAGCCUAGCUGAUGCCUUGAACAUCUGAAGAUGCCAUGAAGUGGAUGCCUGUAUUAAAGCCCCUCAGGAGACAAAUAGGCGGCCCGUACCUGUCUGGAUAUGGGGACCAUCUCUCAGCUUAUAUCUCUUGACACCGAUUGGACCUACUUGGAAGGUAAAGGAGCUCACCU